CUACGGGGGGCUGCAGUGGGGAAUAUUGCACAAUGGGCGCAAGCCUGAUGCAGCCAUGCCGCGUGUAUGAAGAAGGCCUUCGGGUUGUAAAGUACUUUCAGCGGGGAGGAAGGGAGUAAAGUUAAUACCUUUGCUCAUUGACGUUACCCGCAGAAGAAGCACCGGCUAACUCCGUGCCAGCAGCCGCGGUAAUACGGAGGGUGCAAGCGUUAAUCGGAAUUACUGGGCGUAAAGCGCACGCAGGCGGUUUGUUAAGUCAGAUGUGAAAUCCCCGGGCUCAACCUGGGAACUGCAGCUGAUACUGGCAAGCUUGAGUCUUGUAGAGGGGGGUAGAAUUCCAGGUGUAGCGGUGAAAUGCGUAGAGAUCUGGAGGAAUACCGGUGGCGAAGGCGGCCCCCUGGACGAAGACUGACGCUCAGGUGCGAAAGCGUGGGGAGCAAACAGGAUUAGAUACCCCCGUAGUC
rnacentral:rRNA from 1 species